GAUGAACGCUGGCGGCGUGCCUAAUACAUGCAAGUCGAGCGAACGGACGAGAAGCUUGCUUCUCUGAUGUUAGCGGCGGACGGGUGAGUAACACGUGGAUAACCUACCUAUAAGACUGGGAUAACUUCGGGAAACCGGAGCUAAUACCGGAUGAUAUUUUGAACCGCAUGGUUCAAAAGUGAAAGACGGUCUUGCUGUCACUUAUAGAUGGAUCCGCGCUGCAUUAGCUAGUUGGUAAGGUAACGGCUUACCAAGGCAACGAUGCAUAGCCGACCUGAGAGGGUGAGCGGCCACACUGGAACUGAGACACGGUACAGACUCCUACGGGAGGCAGCAGUAGGGAAUCUUCCGCAAUGGGCGAAAGCCUGACGGAGCAACGACGCGUGAGUGAUGAAGGUCUUCGGAUCGUAAAACUCUGUUAUUAGGGAAGAACAUAUGUGUAAGUAACUGUGCACAUCUUGACGGUACCUAAUCAGAAAGCCACGGCUAACUACGUG
rnacentral:rRNA from 1 species